GUGGGGGACAACGUUUCGAAAGGAACGCUAAUACCGCAUACGCCCUACGGGGGAAAGCAGGGGAUCUUCGGACCUUGCGCUAAUAGAUGAGCCUAAGUCGGAUUAGCUAGUUGGUGGGGUAAAGGCCUACCAAGGCGACGAUCUGUAGCGGGUCUGAGAGGAUGAUCCGCCACACUGGGACUGAGACACGGCCCAGACUCCUACGGGAGGCAGCAGUGGGGAAUAUUGGACAAUGGGGGGAACCCUGAUCCAGCCAUGCCGCGUGUGUGAAGAAGGCCUUUUGGUUGUAAAGCACUUUAAGCGAGGAGGAGGCUCCUAUAGAUAAUACCUAUAGUGAGUGGACGUUACUCGCAGAAUAAGCACCGGCUAACUCUGUGCCAGCAGCCGCGGUAAUACAGAGGGUGCGAGCGUUAAUCGGAUUUACUGGGCGUAAAGCGUGCGUAGGUGGUCUUUUAAGUCGGAUGUGAAAUCCCUGAGCUUAACUUAGGAAUUGCAUUCGAUACUGGGAGACUAGAGUAUGGGAGAGGAUGGUAGAAUUCCAGGUGUAGCGGUGAAAUGCGUAGAGAUCUGGAGGAAUACCGAUGGCGAAGGCAGCCAUCUGGCCUAAUACUGACACUGAGGCACGAAAGCAUGGGGAGCAAACAGGAUUAGAUACCCUGGUAGUCCAUGCCGUAAACGAUGUCUACUAGCCGUUGGGGCCUUUGAGGCUUUAGUGGCGCAGCUAACGCGAUAAGUAGACCGCCUGGGGAGUACGGUCGCAAGACUAAAACUCAAAUGAAUUGACGGGGGCCCGCACAAGCGGUGGAGCAUGUGGUUUAAUUCGAUGCAACGCGAAGAACCUUACCUGGCCUUGACAUACAGAGAACUUUCCAGAGAUGGAUUGGUGCCUUCGGGAACUCUGAUACAGGUGCUGCAUGGCUGUCGUCAGCUCGUGUCGUGAGAUGUUGGGUUAAGUCCCGCAACGAGCGCAACCCUUUUCCUUAUUUGCCAGCGGGUAAUGCCGGGAACUUUAAGGAUACUGCCAGUGACAAACUGGAGGAAGGCGGGGACGACGUCAAGUCAUCAUGGCCCUUACGGCCAGGGCUACACACGUGCUACAAUGGUCGGUACAAAGGGUUGCUACCUAGCGAUAGGAUGCUAAUCUCAAAAAGCCGAUCGUAGUCCGGAUUGGAGUCUGCAACUCGACUCCAUGAAGUCGGAAUCGCUAGUAAUCGCGGAUCAGAAUGCCGCGGUGAAUACGUUCCCGGG
rnacentral:rRNA from 1 species